AUUGAACGCUGGCGGCAUGCCUUACACAUGCAAGUCGAACGGUAACAGCACUUCGGUGGCUGACGAGUGGCGGACGGGUGAGUAAUACAUCGGAACGUGCCCGAUCGUGGGGGAUAACUACUCGAAAGAGUGGCUAAUACCGCAUACGAUCUACGGAUGAAAGCGGGGGAUCGCAAGACCUCGCGCGGACGGAGCGGCCGAUGGCAGAUUAGGUAGUUGGUGGGAUAAAAGCUUACCAAGCCGACGAUCUGUAGCUGGUCUGAGAGGACGACCAGCCACACUGGGACUGAGACACGGCCCAGACUCCUACGGGAGGCAGCAGUGAGGAAUAUUGGUCAAUGGGCGCAAGCCUGAACCAGCCAUCCCGCGUGAAGGAAGAAUGCGCUACGCGUUAGUAAACUUUCUUUUCCAGGGGGAGAAUAAUCCUGUCGUGACAGGACUUGACGGUACUCUGGGAAUAAGCAUCGGCUAACUCCGUG
rnacentral:rRNA from 1 species